AAAGACUUAGUCCUAACCUUACUGUUAAUUUUCGCUAAACAUAUACAUGCAAGUAUCCGCACCCCAGUGUAAAUGCCCUUAACGUCUCCCCCAGACGAAAGGAGCAGGUAUCAGGCACACUUUCCCAGUAGCCCAAGACACCUUGCUUAGCCACACCCCCACGGGUAUUCAGCAGUAAUAAACAUUAAGCAAUAAGUGUAAACUUGACUUAGUUAUAGCGACCUUAAGGGUUGGUAAAUCUUGUGCCAGCCACCGCGGUCACACAAGAGACCCAAACUAACAGUAAUCGGCGUAAAGUGUGGUAAUACGCUAUCCAACCAACUAAGAUCAAAAUGCAACCAAGCUGUCAUAAGCCUAAGAUGCACCUAAGACCACCAUGAAAAUGAUCUUAGCACAUGUGAUAAACUUUAACCCACGAAAGCUAAGGCACAAACUGGGAUUAGAUACCCCACUAUGCUUAGCCCUAAAUCUUGAUACUCACCUUACCAGAGCAUCCGCCUGAGAACUACGAGCACAAACGCUUAAAACUCUAAGGACUUGGCGGUGCCCUAAA
rnacentral:rRNA from 1 species